rnacentral:tRNA from 6 species
CGGGACGUGGCGCAGCCCGGUAGCGCACCUGAAUGGGGUUCAGGGGGUCGCCGGUUCAAAUCCGGCCGUCCCGA